rnacentral:lncRNA from 1 species
CAACAGUUGUUUCUCUUUCCUCCUCUCCCAUGCUCUCUCUCUCUCUCUCUUCCCUUCCUCUCUCUUUAAUUCCAAGACAGCUUUUUAUUCCCCAGUCCUCCCCCCUCUCUUUCUCUCUCUCAUCCUCUCUUUUAUUCCCGAGGUCUUCUCCCCUCUCUCUCUCUCUCAUCCUCUCUCUUCUCUCUAUUUCUCUCUCUUUCUUCCUCUCCCAUUCUCUCUCUCUCAUCCUCUAUUUAUUCCCGAGGUCUUCCCCUCUCCGUGGCCGCUGUUGCUGGCCGCGGGAGCAUCGAGGGCCGCGGGAACGUCGAGGGCGGAGAUGUCCGCCGCCGAGGGGAGGGCCGCCGCGUGGGUGAAGAUAGCGCGGCUGCGAGAGGGAGUAGUUAUUGAAGUAGCAGGACUUGGUGUUGGUCGAGUCGCACUGCGGGCACUUGAGCGCCGGAUCCGGCUGCGGAAUCUUCGCAAGACGCGCCAGCGCCGCAGGCGGGCAAGCAGCGAUUGGGAGGGAGGGUGCGGGGGGUCGGGGGGAGGGUUUUUGCGGAGUUUUUUUUUUGCUUUUUUUCUUUUUUCCUUUUAUUUUUUUGUUUUCUGUCUAAUAAAACCCAACGUAAAACGCCUCCUUCCCAAGGUGUCUCUCCUUCCCAAGAACCUUGCUCCUUCUCGAGGCGUCUCUCCUUCCCAAGACAUCUUCUUUUUCCGAGGUUUACGUCAUUUCCAAGACAACAGCUGUUUCUCGUUCCUCCUCUCCCAUGCUCUCUCUCUCUCUCUUCCCUUCUCCUCUCUUUCCAAGACAGCUUUUUAUUCCCCAGUCCUCCCUACUCUUUCUCUCUCUCAUCCUCUCUUUUAUUCCCGAGGUCUUCCCUCUCUCUCUCUCUCUCUCUCAUCCUCUCUCUUCUCUCUAUUUCUCUCUCUUUCUUCCUCUCCCAUUCUCUCUCUCUCUCAUCCUCUAUUUUAUUCCCGAGGUCUUCCCCUCUCCGU